AGGCAGCUUUAAAGCCUUGAUGAGACAAGGAACAUUUUUGUUUUGUGACUUAAUUCUAUGUCGUUGCACACUUCAUGUUUAUGAAUGAGUUCAUCAUGGUGUUCUGUCUGUUUGUUUAGGUUCAUGCCUCCGGACGACCCGCUGGGCCGGCAUGGUCCGAGUCUGGACAACUUCCUGUCCAAGGAACCCCGUCAGCCAGAGCCCCUGCCUCCGAUCUGUCCGUACGGCAGCAGGAAGUGCACCUACGGAAACAAGUGCAAGUUCUAUCACCCGGAGCGGGGCAACAUGCCCCACAAGAUGGUCAACGAGAAGCUGGCGGAACAGGCCAAACAGAAAAUCCAGGAGGCGCGGGAAAAUCGCAAAACCCAGGAUGGUAAGAAAUCUGUGAAGUAAAUCUAAGCAACCUUUGUGCAAGAAACCUUCCCGAGGUAAGAUGGCCGUGUCAAGGACACAGUCACUUACCCCCAAAACUCACCCCGACAGCCUGGGAGCAGAAGCCCCGGUCAAACGCCACAGUGGGGACUUUGGCGAGGUGACGGUAAACAUCGACAGCCGGGACCUGGAGAAUGACGAGAAGUGGAAGAGUUACAACGAGAAACUGUCCGAGCACCGGAAACAGAUGGAGCAGGCGGAUAUAGAACACCAGAGACAGAGAUCUGACGCCAAGGAAUCUCAGUUCAGCAUGGUCACAAUGCAGAGUAUGGAGCCGUUCAACAUGGCCAGUAAAAUGGAGCAGCAAUGUGGGUCAAGGUCGUCCUCUCCCAUGCAAAGGUCAACACCGUCCCCGCAGCUGAUGCUGCAGAACGAGGAAUUUCUCAGCGGGCACUUGAUGCUGGCCAAGAAACUUUCGGACGAGGCCGGGGAGACUAAAUCCCACAAGUCAGAGGAGAGACUAUUUAACCGAAGCCCUCCCAUAGGUUACCAUGGUAACAGCCCGUUGGCCACGCCUGUCAAGCAGAACAAGCCCCCCUCACAACAACAACACCAACCGCUACUAAUGAAUCAACAGCUCCCUCCCCCUCCUCCUCCAUCACACCAGCCCAUCUCUCAACAGUUUUCCCAUCCAGUGCCCAUGCAGCACCAGCAUCAGAAACUCAGCAGGCAGUAUUCUCUGCAAGGACCUCAGGACCCUCGCCUUCAGCGUGGCCAAAUGGCUCCAGCAGCACAUUCCACCAGGACACCUUUUCCGCAAGAAAACUACGGAGCAUUUGGGAUGGCAAGGAAUCCCUUUUCAUCAUCAGAUAACUUUUCCACCCCUCCUCCUCCCUUUAGCGGCAGGCCCGAGCAUCGUUACUUGGGAGAAGAAAGCGAACAUGCAGCUCUGGCCAGAAUGCAAAGUGCGCCAGAGACACUUUUCACAAGGAAUGACAAUAACUCGCACAAGAGGUUCGGGAGAAUGGUCCGUCAAAACAGUUCGUCGGACACGCAACUCCACCUUCUUGGAGAUCUGGAUCUCGGACCGAACGAAUACAGCUUAUUUCCUGCGGAGGUCCUGGAUUUCAACAGAAGAUGUCAGCAAAAUCCACAGUUCUCCUCUGGUAUGAAUGCACAGCGAAUGGGAGAUCCUACUCGUCAGUUGAAAACCAGGGCAGUGGGUUAUACAAAACAAGAAUAUCGGUCGCAGCACGACAAUGGAGAAACCAAAUGGACUUUUGAGCCAGUCUUGGAGCAUGGUGCCGCCUAUAAGAGCCAGUUUUCUGGAAUCCAGGGCAUCGAUGCGUUUGAAUCGGACUAUCCACCCACCCCGUCAUGGCAAAACCAGGACCAGUUAAAAUUCCCAGUGCAAGAAUCUUAUCACUGUCCACAACAACCUUAUGAUAUAUUUCACGAGUAUGGAGGACUACCUUUCUCCCAACCACACAGAACUGUAGAGCAUUGUCAAUCAGGGGGCUUCAGUUUUCAGACACCAACUUCCAAUUUACAUGCGGCCCCCUCCAACUUUUGUGAAAGUCAACAACAUUCCAUGUUACAGAACCCCCCCUCCUCGUCCUCUUGUGGCAAACAAAACAUUGGGGUCAUAGGUCAAGAACACAAACAGAGCCUGUCCAGAACGUCGUCGGCAAAUCUAGGCGGCCAUCCAGCCCCCAAUCAGCAAAGUUCCGCCAUGAACGCAAUGGCUUCGCCGAUGAUGGAAGGCAACGGAAGUCGACCAAAGUUAACGGAUUUCUCCCCCAUCCAGCCGACCGACAGUAGAUACAAUCUUUACUACCAUUUGUGCGGACUCUUUCCCGAGCCCAAAGUGAGAAAAGUGAUGAACGAGCACCCUGAGGAGACAAGUCCCCAGGUGUUGUGUGCACUCAUCAUUGGCAUGUGAUAACGUUGCGAUGUGAUACAUUUUUCAGACACAGGAGACAUGAACUUCAGCUAACGUGCUCUGAUGAAAAAACUGUGAUGUGGAAAUGGUGCAGGUCUAUUAAUGAAUGUUGAAUUGAAAUGACCAUGUUUUUUUUUUUUUACAAGGUUUGGUUAUCAUAUGAUAAACUGAGCUGAUUUUUUUUUUCUCCCUCUUUUUAAAAGCAAGUUUAAUUUUUUUUGGAGUUAUGAAAUUGUACAAAUGUGAAUAUGUACUGACACCAUAGAUCUUUAAGUUUUAAUGUACUUUACUUAUGUAAUGUUCAAAGGAAUCUUUGAAAACUUAUCAUUUUAAGAUGAAAUUGAUUAUUGUACAAAAUUAAUUUAUAAUUGAAUUAUUUUAUUACAUGUACUAUGAAUGAAAUGAACCAAGUUCAAUUCUAAAAUGUGGUGCCGUUAAACAACCAAUUACUACAGAGUUUAAAAUUACUUGUACAUUUAUUUACAUAUUUACAUGUAGAUAGCUGUAUUGCCAUAUCUGUGACAUAUUGACCUAUAAUUUUGCAAUUUUUUUUUAUUAUGUACAGUACUGUGUGAUAUUCACAAAACCUGAUACUGCAGCUUUUGAACAGGAUAUCAGAAUUUUACCUAAAGUAAAUAAAGUAUUUGGAAUU
rnacentral:misc_RNA from 1 species